UGUUGAUGGCGCUGAGGGUCCACCCGUUCCCAUCCCGAACACGGUAGUUAAGCUCAGCCGCGCCGAAGAUACUCGGAGGGAAGCCUCCCGGAAAAAUAGGGCGACGCC
rnacentral:rRNA from 1 species